UGGGGAAUAUUGGACAAUGGGCGCAAGCCUGAUCCAGCCAUACCGCGUGGGUGAAGAAGGCCUUCGGGUUGUAAAGCCCUUUUGUUGGGAAAGAAAUCCAGCCGGCUAAUACCUGGUUGGGAUGACGGUACCCAAAGAAUAAGCACCGGCUAACUUCGUGCCAGCAGCCGCGGUAAUACGAAGGGUGCAAGCGUUACUCGGAAUUACUGGGCGUAAAGCGUGCGUAGGUGGUUAUUUAAGUCCGGUGUGAAAGCCCUGGGCUCAACCUGGGAACUGCAGUGGAUACUGGAUGACUAGAAUGUGGUAGAGGGUAGCGGAAUUCCUGGGGUAGCAGUGAAAUGCGUAGAGAUCAGGAGGAACAUCCAUGGCGAAGGCAGCUACCUGGACCAACAUUGACACUGAGGCACGAAAGCGUGGGGAGCAAACA
rnacentral:rRNA from 1 species